AUUGAACGCUGGCGGCAGGCCUAACACAUGCAAGUCGAGCGGAGCGGCGGACGGGUGAGUAAUGCCUAGGAAUCUGCCUGGUAGUGGGGGAUAACGUCCGGAAACGGGCGCUAAUACCGCAUACUAUCAGAUGAGCCUAGGUCGGAUUAGCUAGGUGGUGGGGUAAAGGCCUACCAAGGCGACGAUCCGUCAUUGGGCUGCGAGGAUGAUCAGGCACACGGGAACUGAGACACGGUCCAGACGCCUACGGGAGGAAGCAGUUGUGAAUAUUGGACAAUGGGCGAAAGCCUGAUCAAGCCAUGCCGCGUGUGGGAAGAAGGUCUUCGGAUUGUAAAGCACUUUAAGUUGGGAGGCGUUACCAACAGAAUAAGCACCGGCUAACUUCGUGCCAGCAGUCGCGGUAAUUC
rnacentral:rRNA from 1 species